rnacentral:tRNA from 2 species
GGGUCAUUAGCUCAGUUGGUAGAGCAGUUGGCUUUUAACCAAUUGGUCGAAGGUUCGAAUCCUUCAUGACCCACCA